GGGGGUACAGCUCAGUUGUAGAGCUUUUGACUGCAGAUCAAGAGGUCCCUGGUUCAAAUCCAGGUGCCCCCU
rnacentral:tRNA from 1 species